CGGCUACCUGCUUGUCGAGCGGAUGAUGGGAGCUUGCUCCCGGAUUCAGCGGCGGACGGGUGAGUAAUGCCUAGGAAUCUGCCUGGUAGUGGGGGACAACGUUUCGAAAGGAACGCUAAUACCGCAUACGUCCUACGGGAGAAAGCAGGGGACCUUCGGGCCUUGCGCUAUCAGAUGAGCCAGGAUCAAACUCUCUAGUUGGUGGGGUAAAGGCCUACCAAGGCGACGAUCCGUAACUGGUCUGAGAGGAUGAUCAGUCACACUGGAACUGAGACACGGUCCAGACUCCUACGGGAGGCAGCAGUGGGGAAUAUUGGACAAUGGGCGAAAGCCUGAUCCAGCCAUGCCGCGUGUGUGAAGAAGGUCUUCGGAUUGUAAAGCACUUUAAGUUGGGAGGAAGGGCAGUAAGUUAAUACCUUGCUGUUUUGACGUUACCAACAGAAUAAGCACCGGCUAACUUCGUGCCAGCAGCCGCGGUAAUACGAAGGGUGCAAGCGUUAAUCGGAAUUACUGGGCGUAAAGCGCGCGUAGGUGGUUUGGUAAGAUGGAUGUGAAAUCCCCGGGCUCAACCUGGGAACUGCAUCCAUAACUGCCUGACUAGAGUACGGUAUAGGGUGGUGGAAUUUUCCUGUGUAUCGGUGAAAUGCGUAUAUAUUUGAAGGACCACCAUGGGGCGAAGGCGACCACCUGGACUGAUACCGACACUGAAGUGCCAAAGCGUGGGUAGCAAACAUGAUAACAUACCCUGGUAGUCCACUCCUUACACAAUAUUGACUACCCACCGGGACAUAGAUAAUAUUAAGGUCUCCCAUAUCCCAAAAAUCCAACACCCUGAGUAGUACGGCUCAACGCGUCUUUACUAAUUUUUUUAAAGAGCGCUCGCACCCCCUU
rnacentral:rRNA from 1 species